rnacentral:rRNA from 1 species
UACAGAGGUCUCAAGCGUUGUUCGGAUUCAUUGGGCGUAAAAGGGUGCGUAGGUGGCGCCGUAAGUCGGGUGUGAAAUUUCGGAGCUUAACUCCGAAACUGCAUUCGAUACUGCGGUGCUUGAGGACUGGAGAGGAGACUGGAAUUCAUGGUGUAGCAGUGAAAUGCGUAGAGAUCAUGAGGAAGACCAGUGGCGAAGGCGGGUCUCUGGACAGUUCCUGACACUGAGGCACGAAGGCCAGGGGAGCAAACGGG